GCAAGACGGUGUGACAUGUCCUCCGAAGGCAAAGGUCACACGUUCGAAUCGUGUCGGGUGCGCCA
rnacentral:tRNA from 1 species